ACCUUAUGAUUUGGGCAUUACAUUAAUUUAUCAUUUAACCUUUUCCAAACUUCAUACAAUGGUUCGCCACUAAGUUGUCGAAAAGUUAUGAUCUCAUCCCUUAGUUU
rfam:Capsicum annuum cultivar Zunla-1 chromosome 6, whole genome shotgun sequence